GUGGUUAUGUAUGAAAUAGAGCUCAGUUUUCCACAUUACAAUCAGAGAAAUAGGAGCUCAAAGAAAGUGAGAGCUGCUUAAGAAAUCAACUAAUACAAUUCUUUCCUUUAGGAAAUAACAAAAUAAAAGUCAGAGAGAAUAAUUCCUUUGCCUAGGGGAUGUAAAUAGCAUCAGGGUCUGGAUUUAAACAUAGACCUCCUAAUUCUCUGUUCUAAUUUGUGAUAAAGUUUUAUCAAUCCAUGGCAAAAUAAGAAAAAUAAGAUCAAUUUGAAAAACAUUUUUCUGAAUGUGAAUUAGUUAAAUGCAAUGAACUAUCCUUUAUCCUGAGACUUAGGCCCUUCUAACCCUUCUACCAUUUUUGGUAAUAAAAUAUUGUCCCUAUUAGGAAAGAAUGACUCCAGAUGUAUUUGGAGUUUUGGGGAGUUUCUUAAUGCUUUUAUUUUAGUAAUCCUAAUGCAAUUCACCACAACUAUCCCUUUUUAAAAAUAAACAAAAAUCUAAGAGUCACUGAAAUAGAGUACUUCUAUCCAAAGAACCAUAGAGAUGUUCUGGUUCCUAGAGAGCAAGACAUGGUGCACAGACCUGUGGGUGAAACCCGAUGGAGACCCAUGGGAAAUGGAAGGCACAAAUUACUAGAAAAGCUUCAUCAGACUUGAGUCACCACCAAAAUGUCCUCGUAUACCAGUUUGACCACACUACUCAGAUUCCACAUUUCCAUUUUAACAGAGGCUUCUAAAGAUGUCAAAACAUCAAUCUAAAGAAGUGAAUGAAAUUGCAGCCUCCCUCCUUGCCUGCCCAGCUGUAGUUAGGGGUUGGUGAGCCAUGAGCCGGUGAGUUCCUUCCAGCCUGGGGCCUCAUCAGCUGCCAACCAGCCCUUCAUAGAAAAGAGCACACGAAGGGUUUUAAAAGAGGAAGAUGACAACGGGAUGUCUCAGAGAUCUGAAAGCAUUUUCAAGGGAAAAGGAAACCAAAAAAGGAAAGAAAUAUGUCAUCAACAUUUAUCUAUAUAUCCUCAUCCUGUAGCUGAAACUUUGUUUCAUCCAAUUCCUGGUGUCAUAGUUGUCUAAGGGGCCACAUGAUUCUCUACCAGGAUGGGCCAUUCUAGUAAGACUGCACCUGGCCAAAGAUAAAGCUGUCUUUACAUCUGGACUACUUCUUGGAAUGUUUCAGAUGGUCUCACAUGAGCUCACCUAGAAACGUUUGCAACUCCAGGAAACAGCAGCUGCAAGGAGGAGAAAAGGGAGCUAACAGUUAUUGAACAGCUUUGUGAGAGGUCAUGUUUAGAAGCUUUUCAAGUGCUUUCUCUUUUUAUCUUCUCAACAAUCCCACGUGGUAUCAUCAUCCUCAUUUUAUAGUGAAGGAAACAGAUGCUCAGCGAUGUUGGGUAACUUGCCCCAGGGCAGAAAGCAGAACUGGUCCUGUUCAGCCCAGGAUCAAGCCGGAAUUCAAAUCCAGAUCCUCCUGCCUCUGAAAUGCUCUUUUCAUAAGAUUGAGCUUCAGUAUAUGUGGCCAUCCCAUACACUCAGGAAGUGGGGAAGGAGGAUGUGGUUCCUGAGCCAUGAAAUAGUCCAGAGAGAAUCUAAGAGACAGAAUCAGAAAAACAUUAGCCCUACAGUCAUCAUCAACACACAAGUUGAAUAACAUCAAGUUUUUAGUCCCAGGCUUCCUGUGGACUAUCUUUCUGAAGUCCCCUGCUUGAAGGCCGUGCUGGAUGGCCGAGCACUUUGGCAUAGGAAGGAGAGGAAUUUGUAUUUCAUUAAACAACAACAACAACAACAAUUCAGAAUUGUAAUUCUCUUUUUUUUUUUUUUUUUGUGACAGUUUUGCUCUUGUUGCCCAGGCUGGAGUGCAAUGGCGCGAUCUCAGCUCACUGCAACCUCCGCCUCCCAGGUUCAAGUGAUUCUCCUGCCUCAGCCUCCCGAGUAGCUGAGAUUACAGGCAUGUGCCACCACGUCCAGCUAAUUUUGUAUUUUUAGUAGAGACCGGGUUUCUCCAUGUUGGUCAGGCUGCUCUCAAACUCCCGAUCUCAGGUGAUCCACCGCCUCAGCCUCCCAAAGUGCUGGGAUUGCAGGCGUGAGCCACCAUGCCAGGCUGAGACAAUGAAAAGGUGGACAUUUGAUGAGCUUGUGUUUCUAACAGUUUAUAGAGUUCAGAAACAUGGAGAUUUGUUUGCAUGACACUUUCAUUACAGAAUUAUUAUUCAGUUGAUUUAUUCUUUCAUUCCAGAUCAUUAAUAUUAACUGAUAUCAGGGGUGUUAAAUAUUUAGAGAUAGAAAAAGAAAUGUAUCUAAUGAGCAAAAAUACAUUUUAAGAUUUAAAAAAAAAAAGAAAUCAAAUCUUUGGGAUCCAACAUGGGACUUUGGACAGCUCAGGAUAUCCGCUGGUUUCUGCCUGGGAUCUGAAGACUGUUUACAUUCCAGUGGAAUUCCUGGGAAAGUCCAGAGCUCUCACUGCUGUGAAAACAAUGGCUUAUGGUGAUAAACUCUCAACUGCCUCACCCUGAGAAGUGGCAAGGCCUGCAAAGUUUCCCUGGGCAGGAUGGACAGGGCCAGGCAGCAUUCCUAGGAAGAAAUUGCCUUGUUUGCUGCCUUGAGCUGAAACUAAAGCUGGUUUGAAGGCAUGCAGACUUCUGCCUGCUGAACCAUGACUGGGCUUUGACAAAGGUGACUACUACACCUCUUGUCAUCAACAGCUGUCAUUGCUGACAAUUUCCACAAGGAGUCACAGCCACUCUCUGGGCAGGCUGGGCACUCCUAAGGUAUGGGAACCUUUUGUUCACUUCACUAGGAAGUCGUGGAGAUGGAGCCAGUGAUAGUUGGCCUUAAGCUAUACUAAAUCCCUCCUUUUGCAGAACAGGAAACAGAGGUCCAAGAAGUUCAUUCAGUAUUUUAACAUGGCUGGUUAGUGGCAGGGCCAAGACAAGGAGCCAAGCUUCACUUAUCAACUCAACACAUAUUAAUCAUGCUCUGCACCAUGUGCAGGGAAAGAGCAGUGAGUGAAACUGUUAGGAAAGGAGGGAUGGAUUUGGGGGUAAGUCCAUCCUCCAAUUUUCAGUUUUCAGCCUCUUAAGAAAGAGAACUUGAUGCUUGGUUUAAUCUAGAAGAAGCUAAACAUGGAAAUAUUCCUCUUGCCAGGGGUUGAUUUAGGGGUGGGCGUACGAUCUAGUUCUGGUCAAGUAGGUAUGAAGGGAAAUUUGCUAUGGGGCUUGGUAAUGUUUCUGGGAACAAUUUUUCUUCCACUAAAGGUUGCUGCAUGGGGAUGUAGUGCCUGUCGACAAGCUGACAUAGUACAGAAGAGAGAUGGAAAAAAACCCUGGGCCCUUGACAACAUCACUGAGCUGCUGAAAAACCAAACUCACAGGCCCUGCUACAACACUUGUUGAGAUGUGAGCUGAUAAAAUUAGCUUACUAAUUCAGUCAGCUGAGUUAGGUUUUCUAAU
rnacentral:lncRNA from 1 species